rnacentral:rRNA from 1 species
GAUGAACGCUAGCGGCAGGCUUAAUACAUGCAAGUCGUGGGGCAGCAUGAUGUAGCAAUACAUUGAUGGCGACCGGCAAACGGGUGCGGAACACGUACACAACCUUCCUUUUAGUGGGGAAUAGCCCAGAGAAAUUUGGAUUAAUACCCCAUAAGAUAAUGAGAUGGCAUCAUCUUAUUAUUAAAGCUUCGGCGCUAGAAGAUGGGUGUGCGGCUGAUUAGGUAGUUGGCGGGGGAACGGCCCACCAAGCCUACGAUCAGUAGCUGAUGUGAGAGCAUGAUACACCAAACGGGAACGUGGACAACGGCCCCACUCCUUCCGGAGGCAGCAGUAAGGAAUUUUGGACAAUGGAUGCAAUCCUGAUCCAACCAUGCCUCGUGAAGGAUUAAGGUCCUCUGGAUUGUAAACCUCUUUUAAAAGGGACGAAAAAAGGUCUUUCUAGAUCGUCUGACGGUACCUUAUGAAUAAGCACCGGCUAACUCCGUGCCAGCAGCCGCCGUAACAC